GAUUCUUGGGAGUUAGUGGUAAAAGCAGAAACUAAAUAGUCUUUAAUUUUUUUUUUUAACAUGGGAAUACUGCUUGGCUCUCUCUUUUCUUCUAAGGACCUGAGAAUCUCAUGAGGAGUACACUCUAGGUGAUCUUAUGGGAGAUAGCAUAAUAAAGUAGCAUUCAGUUUGGCUACAACAACUUGAUUUUCCCAGAAAAAAACCUUGCAUGCUUCCUGGAGUCCCUCGAUCUCUUUUGUGCCUGGAGCCCACACCCUGCUGGACCAUCCUCCACUUUCAGUCUGAUCACUACCAUGAAGUUCAAUGUGCUUUGGUGAAGGAAGACUGGAUGACGUGAUUCAAAAUUUUAGGGGAACUUGUUUCCUGUGCAGUAAAUCUUUUGUUGAGAAGUAGAAGACCAGAGAGGGAUCAUCAGAGAAAGCCCUCCCCCUUUUGGUGGGGAGUUCAAGCACACAGGCUGGGGGAGCCACCUGAAGUGCCUGGUUUUCAGCCCUGCUUUGGCUGGUACAUUCUAGUUUGGGGAUCUUCUGCUGGACUGGCAAGAUUAUGUUUAACAGAAACAGUCCACUCCUAAUCCCAGUGAGAAGAAGCACGUAGAGAAAGCCUUACAGGAAAUGAGUUCACAACAGAUAUUUUAAACAUUACUUAAACCAAACCACAUGGAAGAGGUUAUCACAGCAUGUGGAGGAGCACGACAGAGGACACAGUGAGGGUCACAGCCUACUUGUGUCAUGUGUCAUGUGCCAUGGAGGGUCGAGCUUCUCAGACCUCAAAAUUUGAAGUUCAAGGUGCUGAAGACCCCAAAAUGUCAGGACACCACUAGUGAAAAACUCCACAUCACGGAACUUUCUUGUGUGUACAAAAUUAUUUUAAAAUACAGUACAAAAUUACCUU